rnacentral:rRNA from 1 species
UCGGGAAUUUUGGGCAAUGGGCGAAAGCCUGACCCAGCAACGCCGCGUGAGGGGUGAAGUAAUUCGGUAUGUAAACCUCGAAAGAAUGGGAAGAAUAAAUGACGGUACCAUUUAUAAGCUCCGGCUAACUACGUGCCAGCAGCCGCGGUAAUACGUAGGGAGCAAGCGUUGUUCGGAUUUACUGGGCGUAAAGGGCGCGUAGGCGGCGCGGUAAGUCACUUGUGAAGUCUCUGAGCUUAACUCAGAACGGCCAAGUGAUACUGCUGUGCUAGAGUGCGGAAGAGGCAACCGGAAUUCUUGGUGUAGCGGUGAAAUGCGUAGAUAUCAAGAGGAACACCUGAGGCGAAGGCGGGUUGCUGGGCCGACACUGACGCUGAUGCGCGAAAGCCAGGGGAGCAAACG